CCUUUGACGUUAGCGGCGGACGGGUGAGUAACACGUGGGCAACCUACCUUAUAGUUUGGGAUAACUCCGGGAAACCGGGGCUAAUACCGAAUAAUCUGUUUCACCUCAUGGUGAAACAUUGAAAGACGGUUUCGGCUGUCGCUAUAGGAUGGGCCCGCGGCGCAUUAGCUAGUUGGUGAGGUAACGGCUCACCAAGGCGACGAUGCGUAGCCGACCUGAGAGGGUGAUCGGCCACACUGGGACUGAGACACGGCCCAGACUCCUACGGGAGGCAGCAGUAGGGAAUCUUCCACAAUGGGCGAAAGCCUGAUGGAGCAACGCCGCGUGAGUGAAGAAGGAUUUCGGUUCGUAAAACUCUGUUGUAAGGGAAGAAUAAGUACAGUAGUAACUGGCUGUACCUUGACGGUACCUUAUUAGAAAGCCACGGCUAACUACGUGCCAGCAGCCGCGGUAAUACGUAGGUGGCAAGCGUUGUCCGGAAUUAUUGGGCGUAAAGCGCGCGCAGGUGGUUUCUUAAGUCUGAUGUGAAAGCCCACGGCUCAACCGUGGAGGGUCAUUGGAAACUGGGAGACUUGAGUGCAGAAGAGGAUAGUGGAAUUCCAAGUGUAGCGGUGAAAUGCGUAGAGAUUUGGAGGAACACCAGUGGCGAA
rnacentral:rRNA from 1 species